rnacentral:rRNA from 1 species
AAUCAACGCUGGCGGCGUGCCUCAGACAUGCAAGUCGAACGAUUAAAGCUCUCUUCGGAGAGUGCAUAGAGUGGCGCACGGGUGAGUAACACGUAAGUAAUCUACCCUCGAGUGGGGAAUAACGUCCGGAAACGGACGCUAAUACCGCAUAAUGCAGCGGCACCGCAAGGUGACAGUUGUUAAAGAUUUAUCGCUUGAGGAGGAGCUUGCGGCAGAUUAGCUAGUUGGUAAGGUAAUGGCUUACCAAGGCUACGAUCUGUAACCGGUCUUAGAGGACGGUCGGUCACACUGACACUGAAUAACGGGUCAGACUCCUACGGGAGGCAGCAGUCGGGGAAUUUUGGACAAUGGGCGGCAAGCCUGAUCCAGCAAUGCCGCGUGCAGG